UACGUAGGUGGCAAGCGUUGUCCGGAUUUAUUGGGCGUAAAGCGCGCGUAGGCGGCUACUUAAGUCGGAUGUGAAAGCCCCUGGCUCAACUGGGGAAGUGCACCCGAAACUGAGUGGCUUGAGUACUAAAGAGGGUCGCGGAAUUCCCGGUGUAGAGGUGAAAUUCGUAGAUAUCGGGAGGAACACCGGUGGCGAAGGCGGCGACCUGGGUAGAUACUGACGCUGAGGCGCGAAAGCGUGGGGAGCAAACAGG
rnacentral:rRNA from 1 species